rnacentral:rRNA from 1 species
UUCUACAGCCAUGCCACCCUGAACAAGCUCGAUGUCUGAUCUCAGAAGCUAAGCAGGACCGGGCUUGGUUAGUAGUUGGAUGGGAGACCGCCUAGGAAGACAAAGUACUGUAGGCA